GAUGAAGAACGUAGCGAAAUGCGAUAAGUAAUGUGAAUUGCAGAAUUCAGUGAAUCAUCGAAUCUUUGAACGCACAUUGCGCCCGCCAGUAUUCUGGCGGGCAUGCCUGUCUGAGCGUCAUUAUAACCACUCAAGCUCUCGCUUGGUAUUGGGGUUCGCGGUUCCGCGGCCCCUAAAAUCAGUGGCGGUGCCUGUCGGCUCUACGCGUAGUAAUACUCCUCGCGUCUGGGUCCGGUAGGUCUACUUGCCAGCAACCCCCAAUUUUUACAGGUUGACCUCGGAUCAGGUAGGGAUACCCGCUGAACUUAAGCAUAUCAAUAAGCGGAGGA
rnacentral:misc_RNA from 1 species